UAAGUUAAUAAGGGCGCACGGUGGAUGCCUUGGCACUAGGAGCCGACGAAGGACGUGACAAACGACGAUAUGCCUUGGGUAGCUGUAAGUAAGCGAUGAUCCAGGGAUUUCCGAAUGGGGGAACCCAACAGGUAAUACCUGUUACCUACAUCUGUUAAGGAUGUGAGGAGGAAGACGCAGUGAACUGAAACAUCUAAGUAGCUGCAGGAAGAGAAAGCAAAAGCGAUUGCCUUAGUAGCGGCGAGCGAAACGGCAGAAGGGCAAACCGAAGAGUUUACUCUUCGGGGUUGUAGGACUGCAAUGUGGACUCAAAGAUUAUAGGAGAAUGAUUUGGGAAGAUCAGCCAAAGAGAGUAAUAGCCUCGUAUUUAAAAUAGUCUUUGUACUUAGCAGUAUCCUGAGUACGGCGGGACACGUGAAAUCCCGUCGGAAUCUGGGAGGACCAUCUCCCAACCCUAAAUACUCCCUAGUGACCGAUAGUGAACCAGUACCGUGAGGGAAAGGUGAAAAGCACCCCGGGAGGGGAGUGAAAUAGAACCUGAAACCGUGUGCCUACAACAAGUUCGAGCCCGUUAAUGGGUGAGAGCGUGCCUUUUGUAGAAUGAACCGGCGAGUUACGUUAUGAUGCGAGGUUAAGUUGAAGAGACGGAGCCGUAGGGAAACCGAGUCUGAAUAGGGCGCCUUAGUAUCAUGACGUAGACCCGAAACCAUGUGACCUACCCAUGAGCAGGUUGAAGGUGCGGUAAGACGCACUGGAGGACCGAACCAGGGCACGUUGAAAAGUGCUUGGAUGACUUGUGGGUAGCGGAGAAAUUCCAAACGAACUUGGAGAUAGCUGGUUCUCUCCGAAAUAGCUUUAGGGCUAGCGUCGACAUUAGAGAUUCUUGGAGGUAGAGCACUGUUUGGGUGAGGGGUCCAUCCCGGAUUACCAAUCUCAGAUAAACUCCGAAUGCCAAUGAAUUAUGGUCGGCAGUCAGACUGCGAGUGCUAAGAUCCGUAGUCGAAAGGGAAACAGCCCAGACCACCAGCUAAGGUCCCAAAAUAAUUGUUAAGUGGAAAAGGAUGUGGGGUUGCACAGACAACUAGGAUGUUAGCUUAGAAGCAGCUAUUCAUUCAAAGAGUGCGUAAUAGCUCACUAGUCGAGUGACCCUGCGCCGAAAAUGUACCGGGGCUAAAACAAUUUACCGAAGCUGUGGAUACCUUUAUAGGUAAGGUAGGAGAGCGUUCUAUGUGUGAUGAAGGUAUACCGUGAGGAGUGCUGGAACGCAUAGAAGUGAGAAUGCCGGUAUGAGUAGCGAAAGACAGGUGAGAAUCCUGUCCACCGUAAGACUAAGGUUUCCAGGGGAGCUCGUCCGCCCUGGGUUAGUCGGGACCUAAGGAGAGACCGAAAGGUGUAUCCGAUGGACAACAGGUUGAUAUUCCUGUACUAGAGUAUGUAGUGAUGGAGGGACGCAGUAGGCUAACUAAAGCAGACGAUUGGAAGAGUCUGUCUAAGCAGUGAGGUGUGAAUUGAGUCAAAUGCUUAAUUCUAUAACAUUGAGCUGUGAUGGGGAGCGAAGUUUAGUAGCGAAGUUAGUGACGUCACACUGCCAAGAAAAGCUUCUAGCGUUUAAACAUACUCUACCCGUACCGCAAACCGACACAGGUAGUCGAGGCGAGUAGCCUCAGGUGAGCGAGAGAACUCUCGUUAAGGAACUCGGCAAAAUGACCCCGUAACUUCGGGAGAAGGGGUGCUGACUUAAAGUCAGCCGCAGUGAAUAGGCCCAAGCAACUGUUUAUCAAAAACACAGCUCUCUGCUAAAUCGUAAGAUGAUGUAUAGGGGGUGACGCCUGCCCGGUGCUGGAAGGUUAAGAGGAGUGCUUAGCGUAAGCGAAGGUAUGAAUUGAAGCCCCAGUAAACGGCGGCCGUAACUAUAACGGUCCUAAGGUAGCGAAAUUCCUUGUCGGGUAAGUUCCGACCCGCACGAAAGGCGUAAUGAUUUGGGCACUGUCUCAACGAGAGACUCGGUGAAAUUUUAGUACCUGUGAAGAUGCAGGUUACCCGCGACAGGACGGAAAGACCCCAUGGAGCUUUACUGCAGUUUGAUAUUGAGUGUCUGUACCACAUGUACAGGAUAGGUAGGAGUCUAAGAAAUCGGGACGCCAGUUUCGAAGGAGACGCUGUUGGGAUACUACCCUUGUGUUAUGGCCACUCUAACCCAGAUAGGUGAUCCCUAUCGGAGACAGUGUCUGACGGGCAGUUUGACUGGGGCGGUCGCCUCCUAAAAGGUAACGGAGGCGCCCAAAGGUUCCCUCAGAAUGGUUGGAAAUCAUUCGCAGAGUGUAAAGGUAUAAGGGAGCUUGACUGCGAGAGCUACAACUCGAGCAGGGACGAAAGUCGGGCUUAGUGAUCCGGUGGUUCCGUAUGGAAGGGCCAUCGCUCAACGGAUAAAAGCUACCCUGGGGAUAACAGGCUUAUCUCCCCCAAGAGUUCACAUCGACGGGGAGGUUUGGCACCUCGAUGUCGGCUCGUCGCAUCCUGGGGCUGUAGUCGGUCCCAAGGGUUGGGCUGUUCGCCCAUUAAAGCGGCACGCGAGCUGGGUUCAGAACGUCGUGAGACAGUUCGGUCCCUAUCCGUCGCGGGGCGUAGGAAAUUUGAGAGGAUCUGCUCCUAGUACGAGAGGACCAGAGUGGACUUACCGCUGGUGUACCAGUUGUCUUGCCAAAGGCAUCGCUGGGUAGCUAUGUAGGGAAGGGAUAAACGCUGAAAGCAUCUAAGUGUGAAACCCACCUCAAGAUGAGAUUUCCCAUGAUUAUAUAUCAGUAAGAGCCCUGAGAGAUGAUCAGGUAGAUAGGUUAGAAGUGGAAGUGUGGCGACACAUGUAGCGGACUAAUACUAAUAGCUCGAGGACUUAUCCA
rnacentral:rRNA from 1 species